GGGUUGUGAGGUUAAGCGACUAAGCGUACACGGUGGAUGCCCUGGCAGUCAGAGGCGAUGAAGGACGUGCUAAUCUGCGAAAAGCGCCGGCGAGGUGAUAUGAACCUUUGACCCGGCGAUGUCCGAAUGGGGAAACCCAGUGUGUUUCGACACACUAUCGUUAACUGAAUACAUAGGUUAACGAGGCGAACCGGGGGAACUGAAACAUCUAAGUACCCCGAGGAAAAGAAAUCAACCGAGAUUCCCCCAGUAGCGGCGAGCGAACGGGGAGCAGCCCGGAGUCUGAAUCAGUUUGUGUGUUAGUGGAACGGUCUGGAAAGUCCGACGGUACAGGGUGAUAGUCCCGUACACGAAAAUGCACAUGCUGUGAACUCGAAGAGUAGGGCGGGACACGUGGUAUCCUGUCUGAAUAUGGGGGGA
rnacentral:rRNA from 1 species